rnacentral:rRNA from 1 species
GGAGGAAGGUGGGGACGACGUCAAGUCAUCAUGGCCCUUACGUGUAGGGCUACACACGUGCUACAAUGGCGCAUACAGAGUGCUGCGAACUCGCGAGAGUAAGCGAAUCACUUAAAGUGCGUCGUAGUCCGGAUUGGAGUCUGCAACUCGACUCCAUGAAGUCGGAAUCGCUAGUAAUCGCGUAUCAGAAUGACGCGGUGAAUACGUUCCCGGGCCUUGUACACACCGCCCGU